rnacentral:misc_RNA from 1 species
UGCUUUUUGACGGUACUGUACAUAUUGUUCGACAAUUUAUUUCUUGGCAGUUCAAUUCGUCCAUUUAGAAUUUCUAGGGGCACGAGAGCAUGUGUUACCCUGGAGAUCAAUUUCAUGCUGCUUUUUGUAAUUGAUCAUGCUGCUUUUUGUUACAAAGUUCCCUAUUCUAUUUUCAAUUUGAUUGAGGGUUGCAAAAUUCAUGGCGUUGUGAGGGAAUUGAUUCCAGUGAAGGCGAUGGCGACUGGUAAUUUGAUAUCGGUGGGUUGGGAAUUAGACUAUCUCCACCAGAUUGUCUAUAUUCAAAUUACGCUCUACAAACAAUAUAAUUUACACUAUGGGUCUACUAUAUUGUAGAUUGUACUGUUUAUAAAUUGUAGUUUUAAUAUCUAAUUGUAGAUUGCAUUGUUUAUAAAUUGUUUAUAGAUUGUUUAUAAAUUGUAGGUGUUUUAAUUAUAUAUGGUCAUUCAUAUAAUAGAGUUUUGGGAUUAAGGGCCCCUUUGGUAGGGCUCUGGCUUCUCCAAAAACGGCUUUAACUCUGGCUCACGAGGGAUUGAGGGCAGGACCAAAAAAUAAUAAUCUGGACUGGUGGGAGGACUAUAGUGCAAAAAUAACGUGAGCCGAAGCCGGGUGAGCCACUUUUUUUUAGUUCAUUUUGGAAAAGUACUUCACUGGUGAAGCCAUCUGAAAAAGAGGUGUUUGACAUAACUUUUGCAUGAGCCAGAGCCGAAGCUGAAAAACAUUUUUUAUCAUAUGCAGCAGAGUAUCUUUUUAAAAUUUUAGUUUAAUUGGCUGCAUUUUGUUCUGGUUAUUUUCUAAAAUUAUAUAUAUGCAAUUCAUAUAAUUAUCAUUUAACCAAGAAUAUAUGACAGGAUUAUAAGCCGUGACUUUAUAUAAACCGUAAUUUUAACUGGGAAUAUUUAAAUUGUUUUUCA